rnacentral:rRNA from 1 species
AUGCACUUCAUGAGGCAGGAGGAAGCCAUCAAAGCAAUGCAUCUUUCUGAAGGAGGACAAGAGUACAACAGGAUAAGCAAGAGGUCUCUAAAAAACUGGAUGGUGAAUGCAUUUAGAGAGCGCAAAGCCCUUGCUCUAACACUUAAUGAUACAAAAGUUGCAGUAUCCAAACUCAACCAGAUGACUAAUGUUGUUGGUGGCAUCAUCGUGUUUGUUCUCUGGCUCCUUAUUCUUGGCAUAGCUACAACGAAUUUACUUGUCUUCCUCAGCUCACCAUUUUUGGUGGCGGUUAUUGUAUUUGGAGACACUUUGAAGGCAGUUUUUGAGGCAAUUGUUUUCUUAUUUGUGAUGCAUCCUUUUGAUGUUGGUGAGCGCUGUGAAAUCGAGGAAGUUCAGGUUGUUGUCGAGGAAAUGAAUAUCUUGACAACAGUCUUUCUUCGAUACGACAACCUGAAGAUAUAUUAUCCCAACAAUAUACUGGCCACCAUACCAAUUAUGAAUUUUUACAGGAGUCCAGAUAUGGGAGAAGGAAUUGACUUCUAUAUUCAUGUUGAAACACCGGUAGGGAAACUAGCACUCAUGAAGGAAAGAAUACUACGUUACAUCAACAACAAGAAAGAGCAUUGGUACCCAGGGGCGAUGGUUGUCCUCCGGGAUGUGGAUGAGACCAACAAGCUGAAAGUAUCCAUAUGGCUCUGUCACAUGCUCAACUUCCAGGACAUGGGGAUGAGGUACGUGAGGAGGGAGCUGGUGCUCCAGGAGAUGAUCAAAGUUCUCAAGGACCUUGACAUUGAGUAUUGGAUGCUACCAUUGGACGUGAAUGUGCGGAAUGCGCCUCCUAUUGAAUCCACAAGGAUGCCAACAACAUGGAAUUAUUCCUGA